rnacentral:rRNA from 1 species
CGAUUCCAACUUCAUGCACUCGAGUUUGCAGAGUGCAAUCCGAACUGAGAUGGUUUUUGGAGAUUAGCUCGACCUCGCGAUCUCGCUGCCCACUGUCACCACCAUUGUAGCACGUGUGUAGCCCAGCCCGUAAGGGCCAUGAGGACUUGACGUCAUCCCCACCUUCCUCCAGCUUAUCACUGGCAGUCCCUUUAGAGUGCCCAACUAAAUGCUGGCAACUAAAGGCGAGGGUUGCGCUCGUUGCGGGACUUAACCCAACAUCUCACGACACGAGCUGACGACAGCCAUGCAGCACCUGUGUCCUACGCCCCGAAAGGCCCAAAGUGUCUCCACUAAGGUUCAUAGGCAUGUCAAGAGC